GCCUUGGAAGUGGGGGAUAGCCCGAAGAAAUUCGGAUUAAUACCGCAUACCCUCUACGGAGGAAAGCGAGCCUCUCUUGAAAGCGCGCGCUUUGAGAUAAGCCUAUGUCGGAUUAGCUUGUUGGUGGGGUAAAGGCCUACCAAGGCGACGAUCCGUAGCUGGUUUGAGAGGAUGAUCAGCCACACUGGGACUGAGACACGGCCCAG
rnacentral:rRNA from 1 species